GCAAUUACUUCAGCAUCACACAUACUAAAAAUAAAAUGAUACAGAGAAGAUUAGCCUAGCCCUGGAGUAAGGAUGACUCCCAAAUUUCUAAAGCAUUCCAUAUUUUU